rnacentral:rRNA from 1 species
AGCAGCCGCGGUAAUUCCAGCUCCAAUAGCGUAUAUUAAAGUUGUUGCAGUUAAAAAGCUCGUAGUUGAAUUUCGGGGUCAGUAGUCUGGUCGUGCCACCGGUACGUACUGGACUCACUGAUUCCUCCUUCCUGAUGAGCUGUAAUGCCAUUAAUUUGGUGUUGCAGGGAAUCUGGACUGUUACUUUGAAAAAAUUAGAGUGUUUAAAGCAGGCUAACGCUUGAAUACAUUAGCAUGGAAUAAUGAAAUAGGACGUUCGAUCCUAUUUUGUUGGUUUCUAGGAUUGACGUAAUGAUUAAUAGGGAUAGUUGGGGGCAUUAGUAUUCAAUUGUCAGAGGUGAAAUUCUUGGAUUUAUUGAAGACUAACUACUGCGAAAGCAUUUGCCAAGGAUGUUUUCAUUAAUCAAGAACGAAAGUUAGGGGAUCGAAGACGAUCAGAUACCGUCGUAGUCUUAACCAUAAACUAUGCCGACUAGGGAUCGGAUGA